rnacentral:rRNA from 1 species
AUUGAACGCUGGCGGCAGGCCUAACACAUGCAAGUCGAACGAGUGGCGGACGGGUGAGUAAUGUCUGGGAACCUGCCCGAUGGAGGGGGAUAACUACUGGAAACGGUAGCUAAUACCGCAUACCAUCGAAUGUGCCCCGAUGGGAUUAGCUAGUAGGUGGGGUAAUGGAUAACCUAGGCGACGAUCCCUAGCUGGUCUGAGGGGAAGACCAGCAACACUGGAACUGAGACACGGUCCAGACUCCUACGGGAGGCAGCAGUGGGGAAUAUUGCACAAUGGGCGCAAGCCUGAUGCAGCCAUGCCGCGUGUAUGAAGAAGGCCUUCGGGUUGUAAAGUACUUUCAGCGGGGAGGCUUUACCCGCAGAAGAAGCACCGGCUAACUCCGUGCCAGCAGCCGCGGUAAUUC